CUCACAGCUGGACUGACACUGUGACAGCUCUGUCCCCUCCACCUGACACGGGCUGCCAGGGCUUCCUCAGAACUACCUGCUGCUGCUGUCACUGGGCCUGCAUGGGGCCCCCUCCUCCCAGCUACCCAACUAGGCAGACUUUAUACUUGUGACCCCAGGUAGAGCAUGCUGAUAUCUGUCUCACUGCACCAGGCAGAUAGAGAAGGAAAUGACAUCUUAUUUUAUGUAAAUAUUUUGUAAUGCCAGUGACAGUAACUGCACAAUGUUUAUCUCUGGGGAAAGACCACUCGUGGGACUGGCAGCCAAAAAUAAAGGCAGAAAACAAAAUUGAGGUAAAUUCUCAUUUUUUAAAAUUUGUUUCAAUCUUUAAAUUGCUAAAAAAAAAAAUAUAUAUAUAUAUUUUUUUUAGCAAGUUUUAACACUCACGAGUAACUUUGUGCUGGGCACACAGGGUUAUUUACAGAAGUGAUAUUUGUUUAACAUUCAAUUUCAAGUAAGUUAAAAUAGUGAAAAUGAUCACAGUCAGUCUAUCUAUUUCAACUUAAAAUUUUAAAUUUACUUUCAGUUCCUAACAAUUCACUCUUUAGUACAUUUCAUAUUUUACUUUUGUAUACAAUACAUAGGUUGACUUUCACAAGUCCAUUUUUUAAACACUUGAACAGAUGCAGCCUACGAGCCUAUUUUUUGUCUACAUUAUUUACUGUUAAUUUGGAUGCUUUAACUUCCUGUUAUUAAUAUAUCUAAUGACAGCUGGUGAAUUUUCAAGAAGGUGGGGCACUAGACUCUACCCUUAAUAUUUGACUCUGCCGACUUACCCAACCCCAGACCCAAUUUAAAGACUAGGUAGUCCUUUUUCACUGAAACUGCCCACGUUUUAGUCUGCUAAUUAUCUCACAUCAGUGGCGUACACAUGACCCAUGGGGCCCCGGUGCGAAAAUUGAUCCCCCCCCCUCCGCGCGCAGGCCGGCCCGCAACACAUGGCGGUGGGCACCUGGUCGCAGGGGUUACAGGGCUGCGACCCCUGCGACCGCGGUAUGUACGCCAGUGCAUGCAGAUGCACACACACUUAAAGGACCACUACAGACACCCAGAUCACUUUAGCUCAAUGAAGUUGUCUGGGUGUCAGGUCCCUCUAGUUUUAACCCUGCAGCUGAAAACAUAGCAGUUUCAGAGAAACUGCUAUGUUUCACUGAGGGUUAAUCCAGCCUCUAGUGGCUGUCUCACUGACAGCCGCUAGAGGAGCACACUGAACGUCCAUAGGAAAGCAUUGAGUAAUGCUUUCCUAUGGGCGGUUUGAAUGCGUGCGCGGUCGCAUUCGGAGCUGAGAGGCUGAGGGAUCCCUAGCGCCAAGGGAGUCCGGCGCUGGAGAAAGGUAAGUGCUGAAGACACACACACUUACAGACGCAUACACACUAGCUAACAGACACACACAUUUACUGACAGAGACACACUCAUCGACAGACAUACAUACACACUCUCUUACAAAACAUACACUCUCAUUGACAAACACACACUCACUAAAAGACAUCAAACAGACUCACUAACACACACACUCAGUAAGACACACACAGUAACACACUCACUGACACUAGCAGACACACACACUAACACUCACUCUAACACUCACACACACUAACACUCACACACACUAACACUCACACACACUAACACUCACUCUAGCACUCACUCACUCUAACACUCACACACACUAACACUCACUCUAACACUCACACACUAACACUCACACACACUAACACUCACUCUAACACUCACACUCACUCUAACACUAACACAUGUUGUUGUUUUUUUUUUUAAAUGUAAUCCCUGGGGUCCAGUGGUGCUGCUGGCUCCUGGGCGGGUGGCGGGUCGGGCAGGCGGCGCGCGAGGGAGCACUCAGUGCUUCCUCUUCAGCUCCCUCGCGCGCCACGUAGGGAUACCGGCGCCGGAAGAUGUGUCAUAUUCCGGCUCCGGUAUCAGUGCGGUGCGCGAGGGAGCUGAAGAGGAAGCACUGAGUGCUCCCUCGCGCGCGCGCCUGCCCGACCAGCCACCCGCCCAGGAGCCCAGCAGCACCACUGGACCCCAGGGAUUACAUUUAAAAAAAAAAAAAGGGCUGGCCCUGUGGGUACAUACCAGGUCACAGGGGCGGCCGGGCCUCCUGGUGGGCCGGGCCCGGUCGCAGCCGCAACCCCUGCGACCCUGGUAUGUACGCCACUGUCUCACAUUGCUAACCUUACCCAUGCAGUGGAUUCAGAGCAAAACUUUCGAAUUACAGCAGCGUUUACCUUCAACUUCCACUAGAUCAAAACUUGAAGGGUCCAACCACCACCUCUCACUAGUUUUACACUUACAGGGUUAUUCCACAAUUCUCAUGUCCACAGCACAUCCAAGGUUAAAGGGACAAUAUACUCACCCAGACCACCUUAGCUUAUUUAAGUGGUCUGAGUGCAGUGUCCCAGUUCCCUUAACCCUGCAAUGGUAAAUAUUGCAGUUAUUGAGAAACUGCAAUAAUUACUAUCCAGGAUUAACUCCACCUCCAGAGGGAUUUCCGGGUAGUUAGACGACAUGCUAUGCAUGAGGAUAUUCAGCGUCACCCAAAACCCCAUAGGAAAACAUCAUACAAUGUUCUCCUAUUGCUAUGGGGUUGUCCUAAUGCGCUUGCAGUCCAAUGCUUUUACAACCUACACCUCUCUAUACACAUGUUUUCAUAUACAUACAUUCAUCUUCAUACCAGCAGUCUCUCCUCCGUACUGCCCAAGUUCUCCUUUCAUUUUUUUCUUCGGAUUGGAUGUCUUUCCCCGUGCAGUAACAAGGAGUGAUGCCACCAAAGAAGAAUUAAGAAUUAAGCUGCAAGGAGAACUCACCACUUGAUCACAGGUAAGUUUUUAUCUUUAUUUCUUUUUUUCUUAUGGGGAGUAUUAUUAUUAUUUUAUUAUUUAUAUAGCGCCAUCAUAUUCCGUAGCGCUGUACAUUGGGUGGACUAACAGACAUGUAAUUUUAACCAGACAAUUGGACGUACAGGAACAGAGAGGUGGAGGGCCCUGCUCAAUGAGCUUACAUUCUAGAGGGAGUGGGGUAUAGUGACACAAAGGGUAAAAGUAGGGGUACGAAGUAGGUUGUUAGAAAAGUAUUCAUUGAGGGCUUAGUAGGUAAUUUUUGACAGUUGCAGGAGAGGAGUCAUGGGGUAUGGGGCAUAAAAACCUGCUAACAGUUUAACUGAUAUGCUUUCUUGAAGAAGUGAGUUUUCAAUGAUUUUUUGAAUGAGCGGAAACUGGGUGAAAGUCUUACGGAGAAGGGAAGGGUGUUCCACAGAAGAGGCGCAGCCUUGGAGAAAUCUUGGAGGCGAGCAUAAGAGGUGGGAGUACGGACAGAGGAUAGACAUAGGUCUUUGGCAGAGCGUAGGGGCCUCGACGGGACAUACUUGUGUAUUAGGGAGGAUAGGUAGGUUGGAGCAGCAUUAUGUAGGGACUUGUAAGCAAGCACCAGAAUUUUAAAUUGAACCCUAUAUUUAACUGGAAGUCAGUGCAGGGACUGACAGAGCGGGGAGGCGUGGGAGGUGCGAGCGGACAGGAAAAUGAGCCUCACCGCCGCAUUUAUUAUAAAUUGCAGCGGUGCAAUCUGGGAACAUGUAAGACCAUUGAGAAGGGUAUUGCAGAAGUCAAGGCGAGAGAGAACAAGAGCAUGGACCAGAACCUUAGCCGCAUCUGGGGUUAAAUAGGGGCGAACGUGCGCUUUUGAGAUGUUUUUGAGAUGGAAGCUGCAGGAUUUGGUGAUUGAUUGGAUAUGAGGGGUGAAGGAGAGGUUGGAGUCAAAAAGAACACCCAGGCAGCGAGCCUGUGAGGUAGAGGUGAUGGUAGCGCCGUUGACUUGAAGGGAGACAGACACAGGAGUAGUAACACUUGAGGGAGGAAAGACCAGAAGUUCUGUUUUGGACAGGUUGAGUUUAAGGAAGUGAGCAGCCAUCCAGUUGGAGAUCGAAGAGAGGCAGUCAGAGACACGAGUCAAGAUGGAUUGAAAGAGAUCAGGAGAGGACAGGUAGAUUUGCGUGUCAUCCGCAUAGAAAUGAUAACGGAAGCCAAAGGAGCUGAUGAGUUUCCCAAGGGAGGCAGUAUAGAUAGAGAACAGUAGGGGACCAAGGACUGAACCUUGGGGGAUGCUGGCAGAGAGUGGUUGAUGGGAAGAGGCGGAGUCAGAGAAAGAAACACUGAAAGAGCGCUGGGAGAGGUAGGAGGAGCACCAGGAGAGUAUGCCAGCAAGGGUUACUCUAACCAAAAAACAGUGUCUUAAUAAAACACAGUUUUUUGGGAGCGCAGUAUUCCUUUAAACUGAUGACUGUUAGCUCCUUUUUGGUAUAAUUGUUUAAUCAUGCACCUGACUAUAUGCCUACAAAAUUCCUGAUUUUAAAGGGAUCCUAUAGUGCCAGGAAAACAAACCCGUUUUCCUGGCACUAUAGGCUCUUGGAGUGCCGCCCUCCCUCGGCACUGAAGGGGUUAAAACCCAUUUAGCCACUUACCUAAAUCCAGCGCCGGGCUCCCUUAGCGCUGGUGAACUCUUCUCCCCGCAGACGUCAGCUCCAGAGUGGAGCCGAAUGCGCAUGCGCAGCCAGAGGUACGCGCGCGUUCAAACCUGCCCAUAGGAAAGCAUUAAUCAUUGCUUUCCUAUGGGGAUUUUUUUUUUUUUUUAAGCUGGAGGUCCAUGAGGACGUCCAGCAUCAAAUAGUGCGAUUUACUCCGUGUAAAUCGCGAAAAUGCCUCUUGUGGCUGUCACGGAGACAGCCACUAGAGGUUGGAUUAACCCUGCUGUGUAAAUAUAGCAGUUUUAUGUUUUCAGCUGCAGGGUUAAAGCUAGGGGAACCUGGCACCCAGACCACUUAAUUGAGCUGAAGUGGUCUGGGUGCCUAUAGUGGUCCUUUAAUACAAUUAAUUGAUGCUCUUGAUUUUUCUUCUCUUCACUAACAUUGCAAUUUGUUAAUUGAUACAUAUAACAGGGUUAUUCACUAAAGUGAGAAUUAAACAUGAAUUUUAAACUGAAUCUCAUAGUAGCUGGAAUCAUAGGUGACUAGUUUGGCUAUAAUGGCAUUCAUUUUGAAAUUAGUUUUAAUGCAGUGGUUCCUAAACUUUUUAGGUUCAAGGCGCCCUUAAUAUUUCAAUACUUUUCCAAGGCACCCCAAGUCAAAACAAAUUUCUAGGUUGUAUACAUGUACAGCGCUGCGGCAUACACUGGGCCACUGUUCAGCAGAAAUGUUUCCCUGUCAGAGGAGAAUCUAGAACCUAAUCUUGGGAGGGGCACUGGUAGAUUAUUUAAAGAAACAAUCCAGACACAAUAAUCACUACAGCACCCUGUAGUGGUUAUGGUGCCAGGAGUGCCAUGGUGCCCUCCCAGGGUAAGUAGUCUAACUGUUUAAGAACAGUUCGACAACUUACCUGGAGUGUGCCGGAAUAGGGGACUGUAGUAGGGGAUAGGGCACUAGUGUGUGUGUGUGUGUGAGGGGUGCAAUGUAUGUAGAGUGCAGUGUGUCUACGAGGGUGCAUUGUGUUUGUGAAGGAUGUUGUGUGUGUGUGUGUGUGAGGGCUACAGUGUGUGCGUGAGAAGUACAGUGUGUGUGAGAGGGGGCAGGGUGUGCAUGAGUGGUACAGUGUAUGUGUGAGGGGUGGCAGUGUGUGUAAAUGGGAGGCAGUAUGAGUGUAUGGGGGGCAGUGUGUGUGAGUGUGUAUGGGGGACGUUAUUGUGGGUCUGUGGGAGUAGGAGGAUUAAUAAAUAUAAACUUUUUUUUUUUUAAAUAAAAAAAAUUGUUUUUAUAUACAGGACAAGGCAAUCCGUGGUGUUCUGGUGGAGAAGCCCUGGUGGUCCAAGUGGUGAGAGUGAACUCUAUCAGCUCCUGAGGCUAGAGUUCACUUUUGUGAGAUUCGGAGCAUUGCCGAUUGCAGCAUUACAGUGCUAUCGGGCCUGUGAGGGAGAUCUUUGAUCGCUCUCCCUUCCGGUCCUACAGAGCCGGCAGGGGAGAGCGAGGCACAGCACAAUUUUCCUGGUGCUAUGAUCAUAUGAUCAUAGCACCAGGGAAACUUUUCACAACACCCCUGUGUACCGUGGAGCGCCGCGGCACAUAGUUUGGGAACCGCUGCUUUAAUGAAUAAACCUGUAAACUAGUAACAGAUUUUUUUUUAAAAACAUUCCUAUUUUCCACCUGCUAAAACCUUUACACAUUUCCUAAAUGUAUAUAGUAUUUCUAUAUUUUGUUAAGAAAAAAAUAAAGGAACCAUAACAACUUUAAAAUGUAGUUGUUCUGCUGCUAGGAGGUUACCAGGUGCUUUCUUACCUGAAGGGUUGAACUGUUCUUGAACGGCUUAACCCCAAAAGCUACCUCAGGUAUGUAUAUAGUAUCCAUGUAUAUAGUAUUUCUAUAUUUUGUUAAAAAAUAAAUAAAGGAACAAUCUGGGCACCAUAACAAUGUUUUUUAAUUUUUUUUAUUUCGGAGCCACUGAUUAGCUCAGAGCGCCAGCUAACGGCACUAGCCAAGACAAAUGCCGCUGGGGGAACUGGAGAUCCAACAUCAAGCAACCUGUGACUAGUACGAUUUAACUAGAGCUCUAAACUAAUCAGUAGCUACCGUUUCAUAAAAAAUAUAAAAAGGUACAUACCACCAAUCAGCAGCAAUAUCAGAAGUUGAAUACCGUUCGGGGAACAGGAGAUCCAGCACUGGAGGCAAUCUUUGGGGUUAAGCCACUUGAGAAUGGUUUAAUCCAUUCAGGUAAGAAAGCACCUGGCCACCUCAUGGAACCAUAACAAUUGAAUUUCGAUAAGAUGUUAUAGUGCCCAAAGUGUUACGGUUAAAAAGAAAAGCUGGCUCACAGUUUAUUCUUCUGGCUCCUAUAUUCUGUGGAAAGUUGUCAAGCCCUGCCAUAAGCCAAUAGAUGUAUUCUCAAAAACAACAACCACUUUAAAUGGUUGCUUCAACAACCAUGACCAUUUCAGUGAUUUGAAGUGAUCCUGGUGGUAGGAGUCUGCAUGUGCAGUGUUUCAGCUUGCAGUGUUUCAGUGUUUCAGUUAGCACUUCCAGCACAGGACAGGGCACUGACAUCAGAUGUAAAAAAUAUUACCUUUUGCAGACAGAGUGUCUGGAGGGAAGAAAGCUUUACCCUCCCUCCCACUGGGUGCUCCUGUCUCCAUUCCCUUCAACUAAUUGAAUAGGCUUUUUUUGUUUUAAUAGCCCUCCCAGCAUCCCUACUCUUCUCCCUCCCUCACUGGAUCAAAGUACAUGCGGUCCAAUGAAAGGUUUCUCUGUAAGUGCCGGGGUGACGUCAGAAUGGGGCAUGGAAAACAGCAUCAGGAGCUUUGGCCGUCGCUGGAUUCCAGGUAAAUAAAACUUUUCACAGGGUUUAAGAAGGGGGGAUAAAGAAUAUAUAAUUUUAUAAGGGUUGGAGUGAACCUUUAAAGAAGUCUGAUACUAAUUCUGAUGCUGAUAAUCCAUAACAGGACUCAGGACUAUCUUUUAGGGUGUAUGGAAUCUGAUGGAGCCAUAGCCAGCCUGGAAAUAAAACAUUGCCCUGAAAAAAAUAGUUCUACCAACACUAUAAUGCAUUACAUCAGCAUAAUGCACACAUACACACGUUGGAAGAAAAUCUUAAAGGGACACCAUGGUCACCAGAAAUAGUACAGCUUCACAGGGGCACUAUAGGCACCAAACCACAACAGCUCAUUGAACUGGUCUAGGUGCACUGUACCUGUCAGUUUAACCCUGCAAUGGUAAUUAUUGCAGUUAUUGAGAAACUGCAAUAAUUACCUUGCAGGGUUAAGUCUACAAGACAACCUAUAGUGUCAGGUAUACAUAUUUGUUUCAGAAAUCUCCUCUGAAAUAGGGAUAAGGACUGGAUUAGGAGUAAGAUUAUUGGUGGGAUUAGGGACAAAGGUAUACAUGUGGGGUAUCGUUGUACUCGAGCAGUAGUAGACUAGAAAUAUCAGAUCUUUCCACUAGUGGGACAAAACAGGUGGUCUGUGAAUUUACACAAAAUAAAACCAUGUGUGGGGAAAAAAUAAUAAUAAUAAUAAAAAAAAAAAAAUAUAUAUAUAUAUAUAUAUAUAUAUAUAAAAAACCAACAGAUUUGACUUCAUAACAAAAUUAUUAAAUUAAAAGUGUCAAAACACCAGGCUGGGGAAUCUGUCCUGGGAGAGGGUCACAAGGUACAGAACAGAGCGGCCUGCCCAGAAAAUGAAGUCCUGGGAAUGAUUACUGGAAUAAUGAAAGACCAAGGGAGGCAGAGGGAAGCAUGAAUGCUGGAAUGGCGCGUCCUUAUAUGCAGAACGUUUGCGAUUCAGAAGCAUCCACAUCGCCUAGGCGACCUCCUUUUCAUACAUUAUGGAGUCGCAGAGCUGACGCGAACAAAUCAGAACAAUAGUAACACUACAUAUAGCCAUUCUAGGCCCUUAUUCAGUGCCCUAUCGUGGUUUCUACUUUGGUAUCCUAUUAGUGUGUUCCUGAAUUCUGUUUGUAUCUCUGGAAUCCUGACCCGACUUAUCGCAUUUCUGGUAUUUGUAACCUGAAAUUGGCUAGUGUCUGAUUUAGUCUCUUUCUGCUUAUUUACAUCCGUCCACUCUAAGGCCUGGUAAUAUAUUUCUAUCUCUCCUGUUUUGUUUCCCAUAUCCUGCUAGUUUGGGUAUACUCCCCAGGACAGAGUGCCCACGUUGACUCCUUUUCACUGCCGAAAGCGCCUUCAAUGAAGUUGUGAGCAUCGGAACUGGUCCUGGUCAUGUGACUGUUACUUUGACACCUACCUAGAGCUUGUUGCAGACCACGCACCCCUUCAUGGCAACGGUGUUCCCUGAUGGCAGGAUAAUGCACCAUGCCACUCUGUUUCAGCAGGAUAAUGUAUUGUGCCACACUGCAAAAAUUGUUCAGGAAUGGUUUGAAGAACAUGAUAAAGAGUUUAAGGUGUUAAACAACAAAUCCAAUCCAUGGAGGUCCCACCUCGCAACUUGCAUGACCUAAAGGAUCUGCUUCUAAAAUAUUGGCGCUGGAUACUACAGGACAUAUUUAGAGGUCAACGCAUCAGAGCUGUUCUGGCAGCACUAUGGGGACCAACACAAUAUUAGGCAGGUAGUUUAAAUGUUGUGGCUGAUCAAUGUAGAUGUUCAAUAACUCUGGUAUUCAUGGUGUUAAAAUCAACAUAACUAGGAACGAUGGAUAAGUGGC
rnacentral:lncRNA from 1 species